GAACCGUGCGAACGUUGUUCGGAAUCACUGGGCUUAAAGGGCGCGUAGGCGGGCUGUCAAGUCUGGGGUGAAAUGCCACGGCUCAACCGUGGAACUGCCUUAGAUACUGACGGCCUCGAGGGAGGUAGGGGCGUGCGGAACUGUAGGUGGAGCGGUGAAAUGCGUUGAUAUCUACAGGAACUCCGGUGGCGAAAGCGGCGCGCUGGACCUCUUCUGACGCUGAUGCGCGAAAGCUAGGGGAGCAAACGGGAUUAGAUACCCCGGUAGUCCUAGCCCUAAACGAUGGGUACUAGGUAGUAGACUAGACAUGGGUUUACUGCCGAAGCUAAAGUGCUAAGUACCCCGCCUGGGGAGUAUGGUCGCAAGGCUGAA
rnacentral:rRNA from 1 species